rnacentral:rRNA from 1 species
UGCCAGCCGCCGCGGUAAUACGGAGGGUGCGAACGUUGCUCGGAAUCAUUGGGCGUAAAGCGCGCGUAGGCGGGCUAGCAAGUUGGAUGUGAAAGCCCAGGGCUCAACCCUGGAAGUGCAUCCAAAACUGCUAGCCUUGAAUCCCGGAGGGGGCCAGAGAAUUCCCGGUGUAGAGGUGAAAUUCGUAGAUAUCGGGAGGAAUACCAGUGGCGAAGGCGCUGGCCUGGACGGUGAUUGACGCUGAGGUGCGAAAGCGUGGGGAGCGAACAGGAUUAGAUA